rnacentral:misc_RNA from 1 species
GUAGGUGAACCUGCGGAAGGAUCAUUAAAAUGAGUUUUCUACAUGAAUAUCAUUCACCCCUUGUGUGCACGAGUAAAACAUAUGUACCAAUUUUGUCAAUGUGAAAACUUUUAGGCCAAUCAGCAUAAACGUUUUGACUUGGCAAAAAUGGAAACCAAUUCACGCUUUUCAAAAAACUUUUGGCCUGAAAAACUAUUUUUAUAAACAAAAAAAUAAAAUACAACUUUCAACAACGGAUCUCUUGGCUCUC